AGCUUUGCGUAGUAGCAGUAACGUAGCCAAUGAGGUUUAUCCAAGGCGUGAUUAUGCUAAUUGAAACUUUUCCCAAUACUCCACCAGGACGACUUGCAAUAUAGUCAGCAUUGGCAAUUUUUGAUAGUUCCCAUGGGGA
rnacentral:snRNA from 1 species